UCGCUGCCUGGGUCCUCCUCGUCUAUCCUCUCCCACUUCUUUCCUUUGUGCUCCAUGUUCCUCUCGCCGCCCCUGCCCGGCAGCCUGGACCUGCAGGCCCUUCCCCAGAUCCAGCUCUCAGGGACCUGAACUUCUCACUUUUACUCUAGAGCUUUAUAUGAGCUCUGAGUCACUGGGUUUGUCCUCAGUCUCUACCAAACAAAUGGACACGGGAGGUGGCUGGGCCACUGCCAGAGGAACUACCUCUGGGACUGAAAUACAGAAGUCAACACCCAAUUACAAUUUCCCAGAUUGCACUGACCAGGGUUUUCCAGAGCAAGGACUGUGUGGGUGGGGUCAUUAUUCGUCCCAGGGUGCCUCCCUGAAACGGUGGAAUCUCGGGGCAGCCCUAGGCCAGAGUGAAGGCAGUUCUGUUAGGUGACCAUGCAAAGCCCAGGGUCUCGGCCGACAUUGCCCACCUGUACUGUCAUAAAUUGAGAAUCAACAGUUGUUCACAGGUCAUUGACAAAGAAAUUACUCAGGGCUGUGGUUUCUUUUUGUAGUCUCUGAGUGGUGCGAAUGGUUAUCCUGCUCAGCUCCUAACUGAAACUUUGGAUGCUUGAGUCUACCAAGAGGUGCCUUGGAAGAAAAGCCUGGUAAGCUACUUUCAAAAAAUCAGCCAUUGAAAACCCCAUGGAGCACAGUUCUAUUUUGACACACAUGGGGUUGCCAUGAAUCAGGGCUACCUCGACAGCAAGUAGUAACUGCUCCUCGUUGUUUCUUUUUAACUGACAAGGCUAUGGUUUUCAAAGCCCCAUUCACCUGGGAACUGUUCACCUGCCCAGGUGGGUGGCUGGGGUCCUCAUUUGAUAAAGGGAGACACUGAGGCACACCUUUGACUUUGGGUUAGAACUUCCCAGGAGGCCUUAGUGAGAUCCCACCAACAGCAGUUAUCACUCAAACUCUGGAGUGGGUUUUAUUUCAACGUGGCAUGAGGUAGGGAUCCAACCUCAUACUUUCCCUGUGCAAAACCCUUUUCUCCAGCUUCAGUUGUUAAGCGGUGCCUCCUUUCUGUGUCCACCUGACAUGCUACUUCUUUCAUAUACGCCCAACAUUUAAACACAGAUAUGUCUGAAUCCAGGGCUCCGCUUUAUAACCACUAACCCCGAAUUCUUGUAAACAUGCUCAGGCAUCUCCUGUCUUUAAGGAAUGCCUCCUGGACCCCAUAUACACUGUAUGAGUUUCCUCUGGCUGCUGUAACAAAUUACCACAAACUUAGUGGCUUGAAACAGUACAGAUUUAUUAUCUUUCAGUUCUGGAGAUCAGAAGCCCAAAAUGCAUCUCACAGGGCUAAGGUCAAGGUGUUGGCAGGGCUGUGAGGCUCUGGGGAGAAUCCGUUUUCUUGUCUUUUCCAGAUUCAAGAUGCGACCUGCACAGCUUGGCUCAGGGCCCCUCCUCCAUCCUCAAGUGUCUGUUGAGUCCUUUUGCGUCCAUCUCUCACCUUCUGUGCUUCCUCACUGGGCCCACCUGGGUAACCCAGGAGCAUCACCACCCUACCUUAAGAUCAGCUGACUGUUGUUGUUAGGUGCCGUGGAGUCAGUUCCGACUCACAGACCCCAUGUACAACAGAACAAAACACUGCCAGGUCCUGCGCCUUGCUCACAGUCAUUGUUAUGCGUAAACUCACUGUUGUAGCCACUGUGUCAGUCCAUCUCAUUGAGGGUCUUCCUCUUUUUUGGUAACCUCUACUUUACCAAGCAUGAUGUCCUUUUCCAGGGAUGGUCCCUCCUAAUAACAUGCCCAAAGUAUGAGAUGAAGUCUCGCUUUCCUCGCUUCUAAGGACCAUUCUGGCUGUACUUCUUCCAAGACAGAUUCGUUCUUUUAGCAGUCCAUGGUAUAGUCAAUAUUCUUCACCAACACCACAAUUCAAAGGCGUCAAUUCUUCUUCAGUCUUCUUUAUUCAACGUCCAGCUUUCACAUGCAUAUGAGGCCAUUGAAAGGUCAGCUGAUUAGCAAUCUUAAUUCCAUCUGCACUUUUGUUACCCCUUUGCCAUGUAACCUAACAUGUUCACAGGUACCAGAGAUUAGGACAUGGACGUCUUUGGGGGACCACAUCCCCCUUUAGCUAAAGCCUCUCUCUCUUCAACUUCACAGAACAGCUUCUGAAACACUUAGGAUCUCACACUCUCUCUAUUCACCCCUCCACAACCCUCCACCCCUCGUCUGAAGGGCAAGAGUCUUUCUCUUGCCCUCGGCACCAUCGUACAAUCCCAUGGACCUCCUCAUUAGGAAAUUGGACCAAUUUUGCAUCUCAGAACACUCCUUCUAUGUACUUAGUAUGCGGCUGAGCAGCGCCGGUUAACGGCUGAAUGCCCUUCAGGUCCUCAUUGCGUGAGCCAACUCCCGUCUCUAAGACAAUUCCCUAGGCCUGCUUUGGUUUAUGUGUCGUUCCCUGAGUACAUUGCUUCCUGCUCACAGAGACAGAAGCAACACGUGUCUACACUUCAUUAAGACACAGAUGUCGUUGUUAGUUGCCACUCAGUCAGCUCUGACUCAUGGCAACCCCAUGUACAACAGAAUGAAACGUUGCCCGUUUUUGCUCCAUCUUCACGGUCUUCGGUAUGCGAGAAUCCAUUGUUGCAGCCACUAUGUAUUUUGAGCGACUUCCAACCUAGGGGCUCGUUUUCUAGCAUUAUAUCAGACAGUGUUCUGUGGUGACCCAUAAGGUUUCCACUGGCUGAUUUUCAGAAGUAGAUUGCCAGGACUUUCUUCCUAAUCUGUCUUAGUCUGGGAGCUCUGCUGAAGCCUGUCCACCAUGGAUGACCCUGCUGGUAUUUAAAACACUGUUGGUAUGGCUUCCAGCAUCACAGCAACAUGCAAGUCAUUACGGCACGGCAAACUGAGAUAUAGUUUAUAUAUUGUCAAAAUAUAAACCCUAUUUUUAUAUAUAUAUAUAUUUUGACACUGCCCUGAUUAUGACAGUGUCUUAGGCUGGGCUCUCUAGAGAAGCAAAACUGGUAAAACACAUAGAUAUAUAUAUAGAGAGAGAGAGAGAGGGAUUUAUAUCAAGAAAAUGGCUCACACCGCUGUAGAGAUUGGAACAUCCCAAGUUCGUGGGUCAGGAUAGAAGCCUCUCCUAAUUCAUGCAGCUGCAGGUGCCAGCUAACCCAAAGAUUGGCAGGUCAGAGAGCAGGGCUCUUGCUCACAGGCUGUGAAGAUCGAUGAAUCCCAAGAUCAGCAGGCAUGACCACAGGUAAGCUGCUAGCUCGCCCCAAGAACCGGAGAGCAGAUAACAGGAGCCAGCUGCAGGAUCCAGCGUGAGCAAAAGCCCCCAAACCUUGCCAGAAUAUUUGCUUAUAUUUGAUGCAAAUCACAUGCUGAAGGAAACUCCCUUUCAACUGAUUGGCUACUCACAGCAGAUCCCAUCAUGGGGUAAUCACAUACCAAAUUUCAACAGGGAAGUGAUCACAUUAUACGACUGCCAAGUCUCUGAGAAUCGUGGCCCAGCCAAGCUGACAUAGUCUUUUUUUUUUUUUAAUUUUUAUUGUGCUUAAGUGAAAGUUUACAAAUCAUGUCAGUCUCUCAUACAAAAAUUUAUAUACAUGAUCACAAUCUUAACCAUCUCAGUCAAUAAACAAUUUCAGCCCAUCCUUCGACUCGACGGCAGUGGGUGGGUUUUACCAUAUUCCGCCAUGUUUUGUAUUGCACAAAAGGGUCUCCCACAGCAUGCUGAGCUUUUCACGGACAGCCUCCUGUAAUUCUCAUGACAACCCUGCUGGUUAGGCGCUAUUUUACAAAAGAGGAAAAUGAGGUUUCAGGGAAGUGAAGUGGCUCCCCCAGCAGGUCUCCCAGGUAGAAGGUGCCAUUGCCAAGAUGCAAACCCCUAUUUGGAAUGCUGGGAGGAUGUCUACUGAUCUCACGUACCCCUUUUUCGUGAUUCAAAAGGUAUCUGGGAUGUAAGAAAGCACAUGUUCUCAGAGUCCAGAGCAAGCAAUCCCUUCCGACUGCCUGCAGGAAGUUUAGACAGAUGUGUUUUCACAGGUCAAAGGCUUGGAUGGGAGCACUCAGCUCAGGCGGAGGGGGAGAGCCGCAGUGGCCCAGCAGAGGGUGCCACAGGGAAAGUGAGGGUCCAGCAAGAGGCUUGUGACAUGAAUGUCCACUAGCGAAAGUCUCUAGGCACCCCAGAUGAACAAUGGUGAAUGACCGUAGUGCCUAUUUCUCAUGCAUGGAGGUGGUGGACCUCCACAUCGUGCCUGGAUCUGGAAGCCUAAGGACAGAGGCACACCUCAACUACAGGACCCCCACUCUUCAACAUAAAGUCUCGUGACCCCCAUGUCUGGGCAACAUGCACCAUUGGCAGCUGGAGGGGGUGGGCAGGAGAUGUGCUAUGAGAACAAAGCCAGCCUACCAAGUUGGCUUCUGCUUCCCUGGGACUGCCCAAGCACAUGUUUCACACAGCCAUCAUUGCCCAGCCCUGAAGUUCCCAGCCCCUGUAAACCAACACCCCCCAGGUGUACAGACCCUUCCAGAGGCAGCACUACACAAAGGCCGCCAGGAGCACACCUGCAGUUAGACAAAGGUAGUCACGCUGGUUUGCUGCAGCAAGGAAGAGAGGGAACCAGGGACCAGUGGGGUGUCCCAUGGGGGCACAGCAGGAUUACCCUAUAAGUAAAGUACUCACGGGCCCAGUCGUGCCUUCGCACCAAUCUGCAGUGCACCAUUUCACCCGUCCCCCACCACAGCAAAGAUGUGGUAAAACCCAUGAGAAAUAGCUUGCCACAGAUUAGCAAGUAAACACAGUUAAGCCCGUGUGUACCUUGCUCAAUGCUAGCCAGUGUGUAUAGUGCUCAAGGGUUAAUCCACCACUGCGUGGGGGAGUCAGGAACAGGGUGUUAUUCAAAACAGGGGCGGGGGUGCGGGGGACAGGGGAUGGGAGACGGGGGGGGGCAUCCGGUGGGAGUCCCCUGAGCCACCACAUCACCUCAGGCGUUUACUUUCAGUUUUGUUCUCUUCCAGUAAACACUGGAGCUUCUCGGAAAUCACACGGGAAGUUCUCAUUUGUUUUGCUUCUAGCAUAAAACCUCUUGGGAAUAGAGGUCACGCUCGAAUCAGGGGUCUUCUGUCUGAAUCUAAGACUCCUCACUCUGCUCGGGGACCUGAACAACGUGCGGAGGCCCCGGUGUUGGACUUUAUGUGGAUUACGAGCCCAGCCCCACGCUGAAGUUUGGUAAACAAUUGUGCAAGGACAGGAAUGCAUGGCCUCCCUUGAUGACCCACAGUAAUGAGACAUCGAAGUUGUGGUUAGACAGAAGUUUAAUACUGAACCAACAUGAGACGUAAAAAUAAAUAAACAAAAGGCAAACCUGUUGCCGAAGAGCUGAGUGCAACUCACAGCAACCUCAUGCUUCGGAGCAGAACUGCUCCACUGAGUUUUCUUCGCUUUAAUGUUUAUGGCAGUAGGUCACCAGACCUUUUCCCGCAGCACCUCUGUGUGGAUUCAAACCACCAAUCUUUCGGUUAGUAGCCGAGAGCAAACCAUUUGUGCCACCCAGGGACCUAUAACAUGAUACCUAGCUUUUCUAAAAAUAUCUCCAGGUGCAUUAUUAAAAAGAACGAUGUUCUGAAAAGGACAACAAGACACCUGGGGAAUGCAAAGCAGAGGGAAGAGAAGGUACAAAACAGAAGGCGUGAAAGUAUGUCACCCAGUGCACAGGUAGGUGGCUGGGCGGGGGGAGCCUGCCUCGCGGGGAGCCGGCGCUGCCAGUGGAAUGAUGUGAUGGACUUAGUUUGUGCAGGGUCUUCAAUGCCAGAUAACGUAAGGAAUUUAGUCGUCGUUUUCCAACUCAGGAGUGCUACUAUGGGGUGCUAAGCAGGGGAUUAACCUAAACUGAUGGACUUUAGUCACUUUUCUCCUUGUGUGCAGGUAGGUUCAAGACUGUUGUUGUUGUUGGAUGCCAUUGAGUCGGUUCCGACUCACAGCGAGCCUGUGUACAACAGAACGAAACACUGCCCAGUCCUGCGCCAGCCUCACAAUCAUUUUUAUUCUUGAGCCCAUUGUUGCAGCAGUCGUGUCAAUCCAUCUCGUUGAGGGUGGUCCUUUCUUUCCCUGACCCUCUACCAAGCGUGAUGUCCUUCUCCAGGGCCUGAUCCCCCCGAUAACAUUUCCAAAUGGUCCAUGGUAUAUUCAACAUUCUUCGCCAGCACCACAACUCAAAUUGUCAAUUCUUCUUUGGUGCAAAACUAGAGCCAAGGAAAGUAGUCCAAAGGUUCUUGAAUAA